rnacentral:lncRNA from 1 species
CCCAGGUGACUGCUCGCCUCCCCUUCCUCCUAGGCCUCCGAAACCGGAGGCCCUAAGCCAGGGACCUCAUCUGAGGGUCGGUUCAGCCUAUCUGGCCGGAGAAAUUGGUAACAUUUGCUAAGAAUAAAACCCAAGCGGUUCCAGCAGCCAUUUUGAAUUAAGUUUCCCACCCCGACAAGCCCUCGUCCCUCCGCUGCACAUCUAGGACCUGGUGGAGGAGAAAGGCGCUGGGCGCAGGGGUCGGGAAGGCUCGUGCAAGUGGGUUCCUCCAAGGCAGCCUCGCGGAGCCCAAGACUCGGGGGACCUCGGUGGCAGGCGCUCAGCUAACUUGGGGAAGGGACCUCUGUGGCUGCGGGCCGACUGUCAGCGGGUUGCGCCUACCGAUCCCGGACCCCGCGGCCCUCGGAGAGCAGGAAGCCUCCUCCACAGCUCCCUGCACAUGUCUCUCCCUUAGUCAAUGGCCCCCACUCCCCGCAAAAGAAAAGUUCCUUCAAAUGUCCCUGCGGUAAAGCCUUUCAUUUUUGUCUCUACGGAAUGGCAAAGCAGCUAGUAUUUCCAGGGGCCUAGAUGUCGCUUAUCUCAACCCAUAAAAGAAAAAAAAAAA